GGGAGUACAGCUCAGCUGUUGGAGAGCACCUGCCUUGCAAGCAGGGGAUCAGCGGUUCGAUCUCGCUUACCUCCACCA
rnacentral:tRNA from 1 species